GAUGAACGCUGGCGGCGUGCCUAAUACAUGCAAGUCGAGCGAACGGACGAGAAGCUUGCUUCUCUGAUGUUAGCGGCGGACGGGUGAGUAACACGUGGAUAACCUACCUAUAAGACUGGGAUAACUUCGGGAAACCGGAGCUAAUACCGGAUAAUAUUUUGAACCGCAUGGUUCAAAAGUGAAAGACGGUCUUGCUGUCACUUAUAGAUGGAUCCGCGCUGCAUUAGCUAGUUGGUAAGGUAACGGCUUACCAAGGCAACGAUGCAUAGCCGACCUGAGAGGGUGAUCGGCCACACUGGAACUGAGACACGGUCCAGACUCCUACGGGAGGCAGCAGUAGGGAAUCUUCCGCAAUGGGCGAAAGCCUGACGGAGCAACGCCGCGUGAGUGAUGAAGGUCUUCGGAUCGUAAAACUCUGUUAUUAGGGAAGAACAUAUGUGUAAGUAACUGUGCACAUCUGGACGGUACCUAAUCAGAAAGCCACGGCUAACUACGU
rnacentral:rRNA from 1 species